rnacentral:rRNA from 1 species
CCCUUAGAUGUUCUGGGCUGCACGCGCGCUACACUGAAGCGUUCAACGAGUAUUCACCUUGCCCGGGAGGGUUGGGUAAUCUUUUGAAAACGCUUCGUGAUGGGGAUAGAUUAUUGCAAUUAUUAAUCUUCAACGAGGAAUUCCUAGUAAGCGCGAGUCAUCAGCUCGUGCUGAUUACGUCCCUGCCCUUUGUACACACCGCCCGUCGCUCCUACCGAUUGAAUGGUCCGGUGAAGCCUCCGGAUUGGCGCGCACCUCGGUGCCGCCGAGAAGUUGGCUAAACCUUACCAUUUAGAGGAAGGAGAAGUCGUAACA